rnacentral:rRNA from 1 species
GGCCCAGAUCGUUUACCGUGAAAAAAUUAGAGUGUUCAAAGCAGGCAGAUCCAAUUUUCUGCCACCGAAUNCAUUAGCAUGGGAUAAUGGAAUAGGACCCUGUCCUCCUAUUUUCAGUUGGUUUUGGCAGCGCGAGGACUAGGGUAAUGAUUAAUAGGGAUAGUUGGGGGCAUUAAUAUUUAAUUGUCAGAGGUGAAAUUCUUGGAUUUAUGAAAGAUUAACUUCUGCGAAAGCAUCUGCCAAGGAUGUUUUCAUUAAUCAAGAACGAAAGUUAGGGGAUCGAAGACGAUCAGAUACCGUCGUAGUCUUAACCAUAAACGAUGCCGACCAGCGAUUAGGAGACGUUGAAUACAAAACACCACCAUCGGCGCGGUCGUCCUUGGCGUCUCGGUCCUUCACGGGGCCGGGGCGCGGGGGCGGCUUANCCCGGUGGCACCGGUGAAUGACUCCCCUAGCUUGUGAGA